CCCUUAGAUGUCCUGGGCCGCACGCGCGCUACACUGAUGCAUUCAACGAGCCAACCCUGUGCCGAGAGGUACGGGUAAUCUGCGAAAGUGCAUCGUGAUGGGGCUAGAUUAUUGCAAUUAUUGAUCUCCAACGAGGAAUGCCUAGUAAGCGCGAGUCAUCAACUCGCGUUGAUUACGUCCCUGCCGUUUGUACACACCGCCCGUCGCUCCUACCGAUUGGGUGUGCUGGUGAAAUGUUCGGAUUGGACGGCCUUCCGUCAGGGGGCUGUUUGAGAAGUUCAUUGAACCCUCUCACCUAGAGGAAGGAGAAGUCGUAACA
rnacentral:rRNA from 1 species